rnacentral:misc_RNA from 1 species
CGCACAUUGCGCCCUCUGGCAUUCCGGGGGGCAUGCCCGUUCGAGCGUCAUUACACCACUCAAGCCUCGCUUGGUAUUGGGCGUCGGGCCUCGCCCGCGCCUCUAAUGCGUUCGGCUGCGUCCAAUCCAUCUCAGCGUCGUGAACUCGUUUCGCUCGGGUGGGGUGGGCGGCACGCCGUUAAACAUUCAUCAAAGGUUGACCUCGGAUCGGGUAGGGAUACCCGCUGAACUUAA